rnacentral:rRNA from 1 species
CCUACGGGAGGCAGCAGUGGGGAAUCUUAGACAAUGGGCGCAAGCCUGAUCUAGCCAUGCCGCGUGAGCGAUGAAGGCCUUAGGGUUGUAAAGCUCUUUCAGUGGGGAAGAUAAUGACUGUACCCACAGAAGAAGCCCCGGCUAACUCCGUGCCAGCAGCCGCGGUAAUACGGAGGGGGCUAGCGUUGUUCGGAAUUACUGGGCGUAAAGCGCACGUAGGCGGACUGGAAAGUCAGAGGUGAAAUCCCAGGGCUCAACCUUGGAACUGCCCUUUGAAACUCCCGGUCUUGAGGUCGAGAGAGGUGAGUGGAAUUCCGAGUGUAGAGGUGGAAAUUCGUAGAUAUUCGGAGGAACACCAGUGGCGAAGGCGGCUCACUGGCUCGAUACUGACGCUGACGGUGCGAAAGCGUGGGGAGCAAACAGGAUUAGAUACCCUGGUAGUCCACGCCGUAAACGAUGAUCGCAGACGUCGGCAAGCANGCUGUCGGUGUCACACCUACGAUAGACAUCGCCGNGGAGUACGCGCGAGUAACGUACGAAGUAAGUAGUACGCGUUGAGACGUUAGCGACGGCGACGACGAGGGAGAGG